AAAGAGUGGAUGAUUAAAAAAAAUAACAUAGAGGAUAACUUUUUUUACAGAAAUAACAAGAGACUGGAUAACGUACAAAAAGUGGUUGAACUUUACAAGGAUACAAUCGAAACAAGACCAAUUAUCUGGACUUGGCUCAGAUCCAGGGUUGCUGAUAAGGCAAGCCUGAUAUGAUCGGAUUGGGCUUUAUAAUUGGGCCUUCCAAGCAUUGGUCAUUUGGUCAAGGCCUACUACUACUCCUUAAAGCCCAAAACAGAACAGUAACCCAAAAAAAAGAGAAAUCCAUGACUUUUAUUAUAUAUGGAUGAUUCAAUAUACGAAAUAUAAAAUCACAUCACAUCCCUAACCAAAAAUUAGGGCAAAAAGAAUAGCUAAUACAGUACCACCACCAGCAUCAUCAACACCAAUCGACCUCCCAACGCAGUAAAAGAUUCAAAAUUUUGAAACAAAGUAACACAGGAUCUCACUCUCCAUAUGUAUCGGCAAACCUCAUAUCCAAGGAAUUCAAUCUAAUGCCACAGGAGCGCCAAGGUAGAGACGAACAAUGCGAAGCAAAUGGAGGCACUGGAAAAAGUCAUCGGAGAUCCAGCUCCUGCAUCCAUCGCCGGAGAAGGGGAGAUGGCACUAUCUUGUGCCGUGACGGCCGCAAAUGACAGAAGCGCAAGAGCGAGCACCAUGAAGAACACCACACUGCAGUUGGUAAGGUGCGCCAUUUUUUAAGAUUGUCGAGCAAUAUAAAUAUAGAGAAUGAUAGAGCGAGUGGUAGAAGCGAUUGUGUGUUGAGACCACGAACCGACCUGCUAUUUAUAGCGUCGCUGAUAUGGCGAUUUUUCACUUUUUUACCAGUGGAAUUAUUAAUUUCUAAGAUUUUUUUUUUUUUGGUUAUAAAGUGUAACGUUACAAUUCGUGGGACCCACUUACAGAAGGGCAAAGGUAAUAAGCCGUCUUGUCUUUAUUGUCGCCCCAACAACGGCUCUUUUUUUAAAGUUCUUUGCCUGAUUGGCUUUUCACCGUCGAUCUAGAUAGCAGGGGUUAAUCGGACGGUAAAUGAUCGUCUCUCUUGCUUGGGCACCACCGUAGCGUAACCGCAAUACUUGGGGUCGCCAGGUGAAAUUGACGUGACCACCUGGACCGACAGAGACGUCUCGCUCUCAGUUGAUGUGCUGCUAUCUCAAACAUGCAACAUCCUGUCAAGGGUAUAUCCGCAAGAAGCUCUGGACACAUAUAGUUUGGAGUUCCCACAACCUGCAUACAAAGAUAUAUGUGACGGCCAAGGAAUUUGGUAAUGUGGAUGUUUGUUGAUAAUCUGUAAAUCUCAUUGUAGAAAGUCUCUAGAGCUACUCAAGGAGCUAUAGACAAAACCCAAAAGGCAUAAUGCAGUCAAUACCGAGGAAGCAAGCUCAUCUUUGCUGAGCAAUUUUGCAAGUCCGAAGUCACC